UACGUAGGGUGCAAGCGUUGUCCGGAAUUAUUGGGCGUAAAGAGCUCGUAGGCGGUUUGUCACGUCGGCUGUGAAAUCCCGAGGCUCAACCUCGGGCCUGCAGUCGAUACGGGCAAACUAGAGUGUGGUAGGGGAGACUGGAAUUCCUGGUGUAGCGGUGAAAUGCGCAGAUAUCAGGAGGAACACCGAUGGCGAAGGCAGGUCUCUGGGCAUUAACUGACGCUGAGGAGCGAAAGCAUGGGGAGCGAACAGG
rnacentral:rRNA from 1 species